rnacentral:snoRNA from 1 species
UCAAAAUGAGGAAACGAUGACGAGUCAGACGAGUUUCUCGAUGCUGCAUAAAUCUUUUUUUUUAUUCAUUCAUGCCAAAACUGAUU